rnacentral:rRNA from 1 species
UACGUAGGGUGCAAGCGUUUGUCCGGAAUUAUUGGGCGUAAAGAGCUCGUAGGCGGUUUGUCGCGUCUGCUGUGAAAACGCGAGGCUCAACCUCGCGCCUGCAGUGGGUACGGGCAGACUAGAGUGCGGUAGGGGAGAUUGGAAUUCCUGGUGUAGCGGUGGAAUGCGCAGAUAUCAGGAGGAACACCGAUGGCGAAGGCAGAUCUCUGGGCCAAUACUGACGCUCAUGCACGAAAGCGUGGGGAGCAAACAGG